AUUGAACGCUGGCGGCAGGCCUAACACAUGCAAGUCGAACGAGUGGCGGACGGGUGAGUGAUGUCUGGGAAACUGCCUGAUGGAGGGGGAUAACUACUGGAAACGGUAGCUAAUACCGCAUACCAUCAGAUGUGCCCAGAGGGGAUUAGCUUGUUGGUGGGGUAACGGCUCACCAAGGCGACGAUCCAUAGCUGGGAUGAGAGGAUGACCAGCACAACGUGAACUGAGCCCCGGUCCAGACGCCUACGGGAGGCAGCAGUGGGGAAUAUUGCACAAUGGGCGCAAGCCUGAUGCAUCCAUGCCGCGUGUAUGAAGAAGGCCUUCGGGUUUUAAAGUACCUUCAGCGGGGAGGCGUUACCCGCAGAAGAAGCACCGGCUAACUCCGUGCCAGCAGCCGCGGUAAUAC
rnacentral:rRNA from 1 species